GUUAUCAAUAGAUUGGAGAGGGAUCAACACAUGCUCUCUUGCCAUAAGUGAGGAAAAAAUAUUUCGUGAAUCCUCUAGAACUUUUGGUGAAGCGGGUGCAAUUAACGGAAGACACAAUACCGAUCCCACUGAGUGGUGGCUACAAUAUGGUGGAUG